rnacentral:rRNA from 1 species
GAGAGUCGAGCGGGAACAGGGGUAGCUUGCUACCCGCUGACGAGCGGCGGACGGGUGAGUAAUGCAUAGGAAUCUGCCCGGUAGUGGGGGAUAACCUGGGGAAACCCAGGCUAAUACCGCAUACGUCCUACGGGAGAAAGGGGGCUCCGGCUCCCGCUAUUGGAUGAGCCUAUGUCGGAUUAGCUAGUUGGUGAGGUAAAGGCUCACCAAGGCAACGAUCCGUAGCUGGUCUGAGAGGAUGAUCAGCCACAUCGGGACUGAGACACGGCCCGAACUCCUACGGGAGGCAGCAGUGGGGAAUAUUGGACAAUGGGGGCAACCCUGAUCCAGCCAUGCCGCGUGUGUGAAGAAGGCCCUCGGGUUGUAAAGCACUUUCAGCGAGGAAGAACGCCUAGUGGUUAAUACCCAUUAGGAAAGACAUCACUCGCAGAAGAAGCACCGGCUAACUCCGUGCCAGCAGCCGCGGUAAUACGGAGGGUGCAAGCGUUAAUCGGAAUUACUGGGCGUAAAGCGCGCGUAGGUGGCUUGAUAAGCCGGUUGUGAAAGCCCCGGGCUCAACCUGGGAACGGCAUCCGGAACUGUCAAGCUAGAGUGCAGGAGAGGAAGGUAGAAUUCCCGGUGUAGCGGUGAAAUGCGUAGAGAUCGGGAGGAAUACCAGUGGCGAAGGCGGCCUUCUGGACUGACACUGAC